rnacentral:rRNA from 1 species
GGUUAAACGAAGAGUUCAAAUAGAAUAAUGAGCAAAAAUUAAUUAAUGUAAGAUACGAAGAGUGUAAUAAUAGUUUUUUCUGUGGGUGGAAUCUUUACAAAGAAAAAUAUUUUCUUGACUUAUCUAAAAGAAUUAAAAAAUAAGUAUUAAAAACCAGGAUUAGAUACCCUGUUAUUUCUUAAAAUGUAUUAGUAGGGUAGUAAAAGUUGUCCUUCAAACCCAAAGGUUUUGGCGGCAUUCUAACCAAAUAGAGGAGCUUGUCUUAUAAUCGAUAACCCCCGUUAUAACUUACCUUUUCUAACUAAGCUUGUAUACCUCCGUUGUCAGAUUACUCUAAAAAGAUGUUUUCUAGAAAAAUUAUUUUCUUACUUCAGGUCAAGGUGCAGCUUAUGUAAAGGCAAUGAUGAGCUACAAUUUUUUUAAAAACACGGAUACUUAAUGUAAUAUUUUAGUUGAAGGUGGAUUUGUUAGUAAGUUGAUUUUAGGAAGAUCUACUGAACAUGGCAAUAGCAUGUGCACAUAUCGCCCGUCACUCUCCUUUUAAGAGGAGAUAAGUCGUAACAAA